ACUUGGACCUAGCAGCAUCAAUGAGCCAGCUCCUCACUGGGGAACAUGCAAACCCCCAGCUGCUGGUGUGCAGGAAAAGAAUCCAGGAGAUCACCUGAUGAAGCCCAGCAUUUUACAGGCAGUGGAGCAGGGGAAUCCAGUUGACACUGUGGCUAAAUUUCAGAAAACCUCCCAUGAGAUCUUGCAAAGGAGAUGGAGAAAAUAUGGCUGAAUGCCAGCAAGAGCAAAGUGGUGAAAGGACCCUGGUGAGAGGCCCAAAGAACAGGAGGUGUGAGCCAAGAGAAGGUCCUGCCAGGCCUAUGUUGCAGGCUAUUUGGAGGCUGAACUUGAGAGUGGCUGUGAGAGGAAAUUCAGAAGUAUCUUUGGAAGCAUUUUGUUAAUUUUGAGAUGCUGGGGACAUCAUCAAAAUGAAAAACUUUUGUGCCUCAAAGAACACCAUCAAGAAACUGAAAAGACAACCCAAGAAGACAAAAUUUGCAAAUCUUAUAUCUGAUAUAAUAUAGAAUAUAUAAAUAAAUAUAUAUAUACACAUAUCUAUAACAUAUAAAGAAUUCUUACAAUUUAAAAAUCAAAGUAAAAUAAACCAAUUUAAAAAUAAACAAAAGAACUGAACAAAUGUUUCUCCAAAGAAGAUAUAUAAAUGGCCAAUAAGCUCAUGGAAAGAUGAUUGACAUCAUUAGUCCUCAGGGAAAGCCAAAUCCAAACCACAAUGAGAUACCACUUUAUACCCACUAAGAUGGCUACAAUCAAAAGGCCAGAAAAUAACAAGUAUUGGCAAGGAUGUGGAGCAAUCAGAACCUUAAUACAAUGGUGGUGGGGAUGUAUAAUGGUGCAGCCACUUU
rnacentral:lncRNA from 10 species